rnacentral:rRNA from 1 species
GUGUCAGCCGCCGCGGUAAUACGUAGGGGGCGAGCGUUGUCCGGAUUUAUUGGGCGUAAAGAGCUCGUAGGCGGUUUGGUAAGUCGGGUGUGAAAUCUCCACGCUCAACGUGGAGGGGCCACUCGAUACUGCCAUGACUCGAGUCCGGUAGAGGAGUGUGGAAUUCCCGGUGUAGCGGUGAAAUGCGCAGAUAUCGGGAGGAACACCCGUAGCGAAGGCGGCACUCUGGGCCGGAACUGACGCUGAGGAGCGAAAGCGUGGGGAGCAAACAGGAUUAGAAACCCUGGUAGUCC